rnacentral:rRNA from 1 species
GAUGAACGCUGGCGGCGUGCCUAAUACAUGCAAGUCGAGCGAACGGACGAGAAGCUUGCUUCUCUGAUGUUAGCGGCGGACGGGUGAGUAACACGUGGAUAACCUACCUAUAAGACUGGGAUAACUUCGGGAAACCGGAGCUAAUACCGGAUAAUAUUUUGAACCGCAUGGUUCAAAAGUGAAAGACGGUCUUGCUGUCACUUAUAGAUGGAUCCGCGCUGCAUUAGCUAGUUGGUAAGGUAACGGCUUACCAAGGCAACGAUGCAUAGCCGACCUGAGAGGGUGAUCGGCCACACUGGAACUGAGACACGGUCCAGACUCCUACGGGAGGCAGCAGUAGGGAAUCUUCCGCAAAGGGCGAAAGCCUGACGGGGCAACGCCGCGUGAGUGAUGAAGGUCUUCGGAUCGUAAAACUCUGUUAUUAGGGAAGAACAUAUGUGUAAGUAACUGUGCACAUCUUGACGGUACCUAAUCAGAAAGCCACGGCUAACUACGUG